UACGAAGGGGGGCUAGCGUUGCUCGGAAUCACUGGGCGUAAAGCGCACGUAGGCGGAUUGUUAAGUCAGGGGUGAAAUCCUGGAGCUCAACUCCAGAACUGCCUUUGAUACUGGCGAUCUUGAGUCCGGGAGAGGUGAGUGGAACUGCGAGUGUAGAGGUGAAAUUCGUAGAUAUUCGGAGGAACACCAGUGGCGAAGGCGGCUCACUGGUCCGGUACUGACGCUGACGGUGCGAAAGCGUGGGGAGCAAACAGGG
rnacentral:rRNA from 1 species